UCUGUGCCUACUAUUUAUCUUUUGGUUCUAAAGAAAAAGAACUUGCCAGCCCUGGAAACUGAAGCUUAUUAACACAGUUUAAGGUGACCCACCUUUGUCUUCGGCCUUACCACCAUUUGGAGGGGAAGGAAGGAUAUCAAAUGAUAUCAGUGCAAAAUGUGGUGGUGGUGGUGGAGGAAUGGAGGAAAGCAAUAUGCAAGACAAUAUCGCUUCAUGCACAUUAUUUCUCAUGGGAUCAAAGCUCCUGUCUGAAUGGCCUCCAUAAACAAAGUGGGAAAACUUCAGUGGUUCUGAAGAACUGUUUUCUGCACCACAUGAGCUAGGUGGCUGUCUCAGGUCUCCUGCGUAUAGUGCUUUGAAAGGAAAGGCUGAAAUAGUCAUUCAGGGCAUCUGACUAUUUGAAUUUUUUUGAGUGCUUUGCAAAGCAGCCACAGGUAUUAGGGCAUUUCUUUUGUUUUUCCAAAAUCCGUAUAAUAGGUGUUCUGAUUGAAAUGUACCUAUUUGAUACUAUCUUAAUGUGCAUAUCAAAUUCUUAACUGUCAUCUCAUGGGCUUUGAGGAAUAAUGUGUCACAAAUACUUUAUGGUUGCUGUUACUUUCUUAUUCAUAUAUGGAAUUGUCACGGAAUGUAAUGCUGGUCUUUCUGAGGCCAUAUAAUUUCCAUUCAUAAAUCCAGUGUAUCUGCUGGACCUGCUGACCUCAGUUAAUACUUUAGAAGUAUUCCAGUUUUUCUUGUCCAGUGUUCCAUAUUAGAAGAAGGUCUAUAGGUGUCUUGAUUCAAGCGGAAGUCUGUGGAAACUGGUUCAGUGGAGGGCUCUAUGCAUUCUACAGAAGUUAAAUUUAACUUUUGUAUAUAUAAUGGGUUUUUCUAACUGAUGAUUUUACUC
rnacentral:lncRNA from 1 species